ACGAACGCUGGCGGCGUGGAUAAGACAUGCAAGUCGAACGAGAGAAUUGCUAGCUUGCUAAUAAUUCUCUAGUGGCGCACGGGUGAGUAACACGUGAGUAACCUGCCCCCGAGAGCGGGAUAGCCCUGGGAAACUGGGAUUAAUACCGCAUAGUAUCGAAAGAUUAAAGCAGCAAUGCGCUUGGGGAUGGGCUCGCGGCCUAUUAGUUAGUUGGUGAGGUAACGGCUCACCAAGGCGAUGACGGGUAGCCGGUCUGAGAGGAUGUCCGGCCACACUGGAACUGAGACACGGUCCAGACACCUACGGGUGGCAGCAGUCGAGAAUCAUUCACAAUGGGGGAAACCCUGAUGGUGCGACGCCGCGUGGGGGAAUGAAGGUCUUCGGAUUGUAAACCCCUGUCAUGUGGGAGCAAAUUAAAAAGAUAGUACCACAAGAGGAAGAGACGGCUAACUCUGUGCCAGCAGCCGCGGUAAUACAGAGGUCUCAAGCGUUGUUCGGAAUCACUGGGCGUAAAGCGUGCGUAGGCUGUUUCGUAAGUCGUGUGUGAAAGGCGCGGGCUCAACCCGCGGACGGCACAUGAUACUGCGAGACUAGAGUAAUGGAGGGGGAACCGGAAUUCUCGGUGUAGCAGUGAAAUGCGUAGAUAUCGAGAGGAACACUCGUGGCGAAGGCAGGUUCCUGGACAUUAACUGACGCUGAGGCACGAAGGCCAGGGGAGCGAAAGGGAUUAGAUACCCCUGUAGUCCUGGCAGUAAACGGUGCACGCUUGGUGUGCGGGGAAUCGACCCCCUGCGUGCCGGAGCUAACGCGUUAAGCGUGCCGCCUGGGGAGUACGGUCGCAAGAUUAAAACUCAAAGAAAUUGACGGGGACCCGCACAAGCGGUGGAGUAUGUGGCUUAAUUCGAUGCAACGCGAAGAACCUUACCUGGGCUUGACAUGUAAUGAACAACAUGUGAAAGCAUGCGACUCUUCGGAGGCGUUACACAGGUGCUGCAUGGCCGUCGUCAGCUCGUGUCGUGAGAUGUUUGGUUAAGUCCAGCAACGAGCGCAACCCCUGUUGCCAGUUACCAGCACGUGAAGGUGGGGACUCUGGCGAGACUGCCCAGAUCAACUGGGAGGAAGGUGGGGACGACGUCAGGUCAGUAUGGCCCUUAUGCCCAGGGCUGCACACGUACUACAAUGCCCAGUACAGAGGGGGCCGAAGCCGCGAGGCGGAGGAAAUCCUAAAAACUGGGCCCAGUUCGGACUGUAGGCUGCAACCCGCCUACACGAAGCCGGAAUCGCUAGUAAUGGCGCAUCAGCUACGGCGCCGUGAAUACGUUCCCGGGUCUUGUACACACCGCCCGUCACAUCAUGGAAGCCGGUCGCACCCGAAGUAUCUGAAGCCAACCGCAAGGAGGCAGGGUCCUAAGGUGAGACUGGUAACUGGGAUG
rnacentral:rRNA from 1 species